rnacentral:rRNA from 1 species
ACAAUGUAGAGUUUGAUCCUGGCUCAGGAUGAACGCUAGCUACAGGCCUAACACAUGCAAGUCGAGGGGCAUCGCGUGCCGGAUUUCGGUCCGGCACGGCGGCGACCGGCGCACGGGUGAGUAACGCGUACCCUACCUUCCCCUUUCCCGGGGCCAGCCCUGCGAAAGCAGGAUUAAUCCCCGGCGGUGUCCCGGGUCCGCAUGGGUGCGGGACCAAAGGAGCGAUCCGGAAAGGGAUGGGGGUGCGUUCCAUUAGCUUGACGGCGGGGUAACGGCCCACCGUGGCCGCGAUGGAUAGGGGUUCUGAGAGGAAGGCCCCCCACACUGGGACUGAGACACGGCCCAGACUCCUACGGGAGGCAGCAGUGAGGAAUAUUGGUCAAUGGGCGAUAGCCUGAACCAGCCAAGUAGCGUGGAGGACGACGGCCCUACGGGUUGUAAACUCCUUUUGCGCGGGGAUAAAGUGCUCCACGUGUGGGGCUUUGCAGGUACCGCGCGAAUAAGCAUCGGCUAACUCCGUGCCAGCAGCCGCGGUAAUACGGAGGAUGCAGGCGUUAUCCGGAUUCAUUGGGCUUAAAGGGAGCGCAGACGGUCCCGUAAGCCGGCCGUGAAAUUCCGGGGCCCAACCCCGGCCAGCGGUCGGAACUGCGGGACUUGAGUGCGGCCGAGGCGGGCGGAAUUCGUGGUGUAGCGGUGAAAUGCUUAGAUAUCACGAAGAACUCCGAUUGCGAAGGCAGCCCGCCAGCCCGCUACUGACGUUGAGGCUCGAAGGUGCGGGUAUCGAACAGGAUUAGAUACCCUGGUAGUCCGCACGGUAAACGAUGGACACCCGCCGUGGGCGACAUACAGUCCGCGGCCAAGCGAAAGCGUUAAGUGUCCCGCCUGGGGAGUACGCCGGCAACGGUGAAACUCAAAGGAAUUGACGGGGGCCCGCACAAGCGGAGGAACAUGUGGUUUAAUUCGAUGAUACGCGAGGAACCUUACCCGGGCUCGAACCUCCCCCGAAUCCGGCGGAGACGCCGGAGCCAGCAAUGGCGGGGGCGGAGGUGCUGCAUGGUUGUCGUCAGCUCGUGCCGUGAGGUGUCGGCUUAAGUGCCAUAACGAGCGCAACCCCUCCCUCCAGUUGCCAUCGGGUAAUGCCGGGGACUCUGGAGGCACUGCCAUCGCAAGAUGCGAGGAAGGCGGGGAUGACGUCAAAUCAGCACGGCCCUUACGUCCGGGGCUACACACGUGUUACAAUGGGGGGUACAGAGGGCCGCUGCACGGCGACGUGCGGCCAAUCCCUAAAUCCCCUCCCAGUUCGGACCGGAGUCUGGAACCCGACUCCGCGAAGCUGGAUUCGCUAGUAAUCGCGCAUCAGCCAUGGCGCGGUGAAUACGUUCCCGGGCCUUGUACACACCGCCCGUCAAGCCAUGAAAGCCGGGGGUGCCUGAAGUGCGCUUCCGCGAGGGGCGCCCUAGGGUAAAACCGGUGAUUGGGGCUAAGUCGUAACAAGGUAGCCGUACCGGAAGGUGCGGCUGGAACACCUCCUUU